GUUGCACCAUUGGUGAGCUCAUCCCAAGGGGGCAGAUCAGAGCGUUCCUCAGGAGAGCCCCCUAGGGGUGCAGAGAAGAGCGCAGAGCAGGACCCAGUCUCUUGAGAGAAAGUGUGGUGAGAGGCCAGCCGUGGAGGAUGCUGGUGCUGCUUCUGCUCCUGGGGCCCGGCCCCACACUGUGUGCCCUCGUCUCUCAACACCCAAGCUUGGCCAUCUGCAAGAAUGGGACCUCAGUGAAGAUCGAGUGCCGCGUCACAGGCAUCCAGGCAACAAAGAUGCUGUGGUAUCUCCAGCUCCCAGAGCAGGACUUCACCCUGAUCACAACUUCUAACCAGGGCUCCGGCAUCGCCUAUGAGGAAGGCUUUACCAAGGACACGUUCCGGAUCAACCACCCAGACCUCACGUUUUCAACUCUGACAGUGACCAGUGCACAGGCCCAGGACAGCGGCCUCUACUUCUGUGGUGCUAGUGACACAGUGCCAGGCAGAGAUCAGGGACCCAAGCAAGAACCUCUGCCCGGAUGCCCCUUUCUUCUCCCCAGGGGUCUGUGAGCCCUGUGGGAGGAGUGUGCAGGGUAGGAAACCGCAGCUCCUUGAACUGAGACACCUGGGAGUGUGUGUGUCUGUGUACUGUGUGUGUGUAUGUAGAGAGAGAGAUUGAACGUGCGUGUGUGUGUUAGUGUAGAGAGUGUAUAUGUGUGUACGUUAUAUACACAGAGAGUGAGUGUGAAGCGUAGGGGCACCAUGUGUGAAACCGAGAAAACGGGCAUGGGACUGGGCCUAUAAAGUGACACCAACAUGGAGACGUCCCUGGAUGGAAAAUUCUAAAACCUGGAUGGUUGUCUUGACUCUGCCACAUGUUAAUCAUGAAAAACAUGUUAGGAAAAACUCACUAUAGAUAGAUCUAUAAAAUGUGUGAGUUUUCCGUGGUAAACGUGGACUUCAGAUUUCCUAGACCAUCUGACAACGUCUUGUCACCAUGCUGGGCCCUCGAGAUAAAAGUGGGAUAUAAGUCAGCCAAGCAAGUGCUUCACUCAUGAGAAAAUUUCCAUGAUGAACGACAUAGUGCUUUGGUUAAUGAAUGAACAGGUAAGAACAGGUACAGGGAAGGUGAGAGGACUACUUUUUUGCAUGACUUAAUCGGAAAACAUUUUGUUGUUAUUGUGCAAAACAGAUAUGUGGACGCUCAGACUCAGGCUUCACCUUCCAGAUAAAGGGACCGUCUUGCACGUAGCAAGGCAGAGACAGGUACAAGAGCGAAGUACUGAUUCUAGUAGCUUUGUUGUUGUUGUUAGGUGCCCAAGAGUUGGCUCCGACUCGUAGUGACCUUAUGUGCAACCAAUAAAAUGUGACCUGGUCCUGCACCAUCGUCACAAUCGUUAAUAUGUUUGAGGUCAUUGUUGCAGCCACUGUGUCAAUCCAUCCCGUUGCGGGUCUUCCACUUUUUCACUCGCUCUCUACUUUCUGGAGCAUGAUGUCCCUCCCCAGGGACUGGUCCCUCCUGAUGGCCUGCCACAGCAAGAAGAUGAAAUCUCACCAUCCUCACUUCUGAGGAGCGUCCUGGCUGCACUUUGGGCUGCUGUACAGAAGAAAGGCCUGGAGAUCUGCUUGUGUAAAAAUUACAGCCAAGAAAACCCUAUGGGGCAGCUCUACUGUGUCACGUGGGGUCUCCAUGAGUCGGAACUGACCCAGCAGCAGCGGGCUUAUUUCUGUGUGUUAUUCUGGUGUAACUCCAGAAGGCUCCUUGCUUACCUACCCCGUGGUAUAAUCUGAAAUGCUUGGGACUUGGGGAGUGACUACCUCCUCAUAUCUCUUCUAUUAGUAAGAUGAAACAAGUCUCCCUGAAGGAAAAAAAAUGAAUAAAAAUCCAUUCACUGCUGGUUUGAAGGAUGCUUGAUGAGAA